rnacentral:rRNA from 1 species
GUCUUUUUGAUAAAAUUUAAAGUCCAAUCUGCUCACUGAGGUAUUAAAGAGCCGCAGUAUAUUGACUGUGCAAAGGUAGCAUAAUCAAUAGUUUUUUAAUUGAAAACUUGUAUGAAAGAUUAGACGAGAAAUUUAUUUUCUUUAUUUUAGUAAAUUAAAAUUUAAAUUUAAGUGAAAAUGCUUAAUUAAUUUUAAAAGACGAGAAGACCCUAUAGAUUUUUAUUAUUAAUGUGAAUUAUAUAGUUUGAUUUAUUGAAAUAAUUUAAUUGGGGCGAUUUUAUAAAAUAAAAAACUUAAAUUUUUAAAACCGUAUAUAAUUGAAUAUUUUGAUCUAAAAAUUUUAAAAGAGAGAUUGAAUUACCUUAGGGAUAACAGCGUAAUUUUAUUUAAGAGUUCAUAUCUAUAAUAAAGUUUGCGACCUCGAUGUUGAAUUAAGAUAAUAUAUUGGAGUAGAAAUUAAUAUAAUUAGUCUGUUCGACUAUUAAAUUCU